CAUAUCAACUUUCUAUGCCAUUGACUGCACCUACCAUGGUGACCACGGGUAACGGGGAAUCAGGGUUUGAUUCCG
rnacentral:rRNA from 1 species